UGAGGAACAAGUAUUUUCACUCUUUUUGUGUGUUUAUUAAUCAUUUGGGGUCUCUCUAUUGCAGGGCACACUUUGCUCAUUGCUGGUUCCCUGCAGCUCAUGUUGACAGCUCUUGCUGCCCUUGGAGAGGAGCCGUGGCUCAGGGUGCUGCUCUCGUGUUGAGGGUGAUGCUUUGUUUGCUCAGAGCUGCCACGUGCCCAGCCCAUGGUGUUUCUGUGUGUGAGUGAUUCAACCCUUGUUGUGUACAAGUAAUGGAGUAGCUCUUGUCAAGGGAUGGAGAAGAUGAAUGUGUUUUUCAAGUGCUGGCCCAUGACUUGAAAAACCUGGAUGUGUUUCAGAGCUCUGCUGCCAACCUCUACUGCAUGACCUUCAGUGAGCUGUUAAGGGCAAGCCCGCUCCUGUUGGGGUUGGAGAACACUCAUGGACAGUCUGCAGGGAAGACCCUCCUCCAGCCUGAAGGGGAAGCAGCAGUGGAGUAAGCUGGAGUGAUGUUCUUUCCAGCAGGCAGUGUGGUCCCAAGCCCAUGUGUCCCACUUGUCUGGAAGAACAUUUGGAGUCUGGCAGCCUGGUCCUUUUCGUAGCUCCAGAGGAUUUUUAGGAGCAUGGGGAGCAUGGGAUGCAUGGACCUGAGGACCCACAAAACCUUCUGGAGAAUGUUCGCUGUGGAUAAAAGCAUCUGGAAGUUUCUACCAUCUUUUUACCCUGAUUUUUCCUGGGUCACCCUGUGUCAUUUGUGGCCCUGAGGAUUAUAGCACACAGUCACUUACUGGAAUACCACCCCAUGCAUCUUCUUGAAAUGGAGCCACUGCUUUACCCAGCUGGCAGAUAUUUUCUCCUCUCCCAGAGCUUUUCCAGUGCAGCAGCAGCACUCCUGUCCAGCAGGGCUGUUGGUACUGCAGGGCAUUCUGAGCAGGUGGAUACCAAACAGCAUUUGUGACCAGGUAGGCCACCCAUCUUCUGGUCAGUUUUCCUGUAAGAACAUCUGUAAGGC
rnacentral:lncRNA from 1 species